UGANUAGCUAACUGAAAUCAAUCUACAUAUAAAUAUUGAUUGAUAACGUAAGGGAAAAUAAUGAUAUUACCUUACUAAUAGUGUCGUCCAAAGCUGGUGCCAGAAGACUCGGUAAGGCCAGAGACGCCAACGUUAAUCGUCUUAAUCAGGCGUAAAGGGUUUGUAGGCGGCUUUUAAAUUUGCCUUCAUUCCUAAAAAAAAUAAAGGUGAAGACUAAAAGCUAGAAUCAAAUAGAGGAUAUAUUAAAUAAUGCUUAGAGGAGGGCCGAUAUCUGCAGAUACUAAGUGGAAUAUUAACGGCGAAGGCUUUUUUUCCAAAACUGAUUGACGCUAAGAAACGAAGGUGAGGAUAGGAAAUAGGAUUAGAUACCCAACAUACCCCUCUCUGUCAACGAUGAAUGGUAGUUAUUAGUAAUAAAAUAUUGAUGGCGAGGUUAACACGAUAACCAUUCCGCCUUGUGAGUACGACUGCAAAGUUGAAAANNAAAAAAUUAGUCG
rnacentral:rRNA from 1 species